UCUAUGACAACGGCAGUAAACAACAUGGCGCCGUGUGUGUGAUCUCAACUUCAUCACCCCCCCCGUCUCUCGCUGAAAAGUAGAACAACAUUCAAUACUUUUCUUGGAAAUGCGUUGAUGAAAUGAGUGUAUCUCCCGUUUUUUUUAACUGAAUUUACGUGAUGAUAAAUGUUUGACAUUGAGUGCAGUUUUGUGAUUGCUACUGUUGUUGACUGACUGUAUGCUACUGUAUCAACAGUUCGCUGUUUUAAAAAAAAAUAUGCAACAUUUCAAAAAGUAGCUAACAACCUGUCAAAGUUGUAUUUGGUAAGAUAUACCUAUUCAUUUUGAAACCAGGAAGGCCUAUCGAUAUGUCGUCAAAAAGUGACAACAAGCUCAGCACCUGUGGCAACCGGAGGAGAUCGAGCGCGACUAAAGAGGAUGUGAAGCGGAUGUGUCCGCAGCAGCGGGCCCGGUACCUGGCCUACGAGGAGCCGCCGAAAGAGGCGAAGACCUGGAUGGCGAUGUCUCGGCAGCGGGUGUCCGCCUGGGAGUCUUCCGGGGCUGGGGGGAAGAGACAUACAACUGUCGGUCAUCAUCACUGCGACGAGAGGGACGAGGAAGAGAAGAAACGGCAAGACCUGAUCAUAGGACAGCUGAAGGCCGCGGAAGCCCGCAACAGAGUUCGACAGAUGAGACUGCAGUAUCGGAGUAUGAGGACCCAGGAAAUCAAUCUAAUGAUUUCGUGCCAGUCCAGCGCCCAGACCGCCGUCCGUCUUGAGUUGCUGCUGCCAACGGAGGAAAGCAAGAUAAAUACCAUCGAUUGUCUGGACAAACUGCAGAGAAAGCGAGUCGAGGAGAUCCUGGACGACGAGAAAGGAUUGACGAUAACCCGCCGUUGAGAGUCGAGACCUGCCGUCCUCCUGCUUUGUAACUGUCCUCCUGCUUUGUAACUGUCCUCCUGCUGUAACUGUCCUCCUGCUGUGUAACCGUCCUCCUGCUUUGUAACUGUCCUCCUGCUUUGUAACCGUCCUCCUGCUGUGUAACUGUCCUCCUGCUGUGUAACUGUCCUCCUGCUGUGUAACUGUCCUCCUGCUGUGUAACUGUCCUCCUGCUUUGUAACUGUCCUCCUGCUUUGUAACUGUCCUCCUGCUUUGUAACUGUCCUCCUGCUUUGUAACCGUCCUCCUGCUUUGUAACCGUCCUCAUGCUUUGUAACCGUCCUCCUGCUUUGUAACCGUCCUCCUGCUUUGUAACCGUCCUCCUGCUUUGUAACUGUCCUCCUGCUUUGUAACCGUCCUCCUGCUUUGUAACCGUCCUCCUGCUGUGUAACUGUCCUCCUGCUUUGUAACUGUCCUCCUGCUUUGUAACCGUCCUCCUGCUGUGUAACUGUCCUCCUGCUGUGUAACUGUCCUCCUGCUUUGUAACCGUCCUCAUGCUUUGUAACCGUCCUCCUGCUUUGUAACCGUCCUCCUGCUGUGUAACUGUCCUCCUGCUUUGUAACUGUCCUCCUGCUUUGUAACCGUCCUCCUGCUGUGUAACUGUCCUCCUGCUGUGUAACCGUCCUCCUGCUUUGUAACCGUCCUCAUGCUUUGUAACCGUCCUCCUGCUUUGUAAUCGUCCUCCUGCUGUGUAACCGUCCUCCUGCUGUGUAACCGUCCUCAUGCUUUGUAACCGUCCUCCUGCUUUGUAACCGUCCUCCUGCUUUGUAACUGUCCUCCUGCUUUGUAACCGUCCUCCUGCUGUGUAACCGUCCUCCUGCUUUGUAACCGUCCUCCUGCUGUGUAACUGUCCUCCUGCUUUGUAACUGUCCUCCUGCUUUGUAACCGUCCUCCUGCUGUGUAACUGUCCUCUUGCUGUGUAACCGUCCUCCUGCUUUGUAACCGUCCUCCUGCUGUGUAACUGUCCUCCUGCUUUGUAACCGUCCUCCUGCUGUGUAACUGUCCUCCUGCUGUGUAACCGUCCUCCUGCUGUGUAACCGUCCUCCUGCUGUGUAACCGUCCUCCUGCUGUGUAACUGUCCUCCUGCUGUGUAACUGUCCUCCUGCUGUGUAACUGUCCUCCUGUGUAACAAAAAGGGAACUGUCUAUUUCACUGCUCUGGCUUCAUAGAAACUCGACUGUACAUUUUCUUACCGUCUCCGUAACUACUAUAACUGCAGUUAGGUCCCCUGCUGCACUCAUCGAACAAGCACCUAGAAGUUUAUAAACAGCCCUUCCUCCAUGACUGCUGCAGUUGGUUUGCUUCUGCUAUAAACGGCUGGCUGUGGAAGCCUCCUGGAGAACAUUGUCCCUCAACUGGCCCCCAAUUCCCUUUAUAGUGCACUACUUUAGACCAGGACCCAUAGGGGUAGUGUACUACUAUAGACCAGGGCCCUAUGGGGGUAGUGUACUACUAUAG